rnacentral:rRNA from 1 species
GAUGCCUACGGGGGGCAGCAGUGGGGAAUAUUGCACAAUGGGGGAAACCCUGAUGCAGCGACGCCGCGUGAGUGAGGAAGUAUUUCGGUAUGUAAAGCUCUAUCAGCAGGGAAGAAAAUGACGGUACCUGACUAAGAAGCCCCGGCUAACUACGUGCCAGCAGCCGCGGUAAUACGUAGGGGGCAAGCGUUAUCCGGAUUUACUGGGUGUAAAGGGAGCGUAGACGGCUGAGCAAGUCUGAAGUGAAAGGCGGGGGCCCAACCCCCGGACUGCUUGGGAAACUGUAUAGCUAGAGUGCAGGAGAG